AUUCGACGCCCGGGGGGACUUACUUCCGAGUAUGCACCGCUAGGAUGCCGGCCACCUGGGUCCCUUGGGGGAAAACGUGCCAUUGCCUACAAAGCUUGCAGAACCUCAUCACAGUAAUCAUCAUCUCUUUCCUCCCCCCCCCGCGCGCGCAACACACAACCCCCCUCCGAGGACACCAUCACAUCCUCCCUGGCAGAUGUUUGUUCAGCCUCUCCAUGAAUACGUCCAGCAAAGGAGAGCCGGCCACCUCCCCAGAGUAAUCCCUUUACCAAUCCAGAAAUGAAAGCAGUUACUUUUUAAAGACAACUACUCCCAAAAUGCUACAUCUAGCAUGGUUAAGGGCCAUGUGGAUUGGAGAAUUCUGUUGAGUCGUCAAUCCAAAAUGUAAUUUUCAUGAACCGUGGAAGGAUAAGCCCACUAAGGCGUCUCCUGCUUUCCCCUUGUACAGUAUGCCGAGAGAGGUACAGUUGAUAAAUGCUAUUAGGAGAAGUCGUUAAUUCAGCUUUCCUGGUUAAUCAAUCCCCUGGCCCUAUAAUGAUUUUCCUCCUCUCUCUUUUGGGUCACUCUCUUCUGAACUGUCUCCAGCGGAGAGCAAGUUCCGUUGAUUAGCAGCCACACUCUGUAUGCCUAUGGGAUAUGUUCAUUUCCAGAGCUCUGUCUACUCCAGUGGAAUAGUCAAUAAGCACUUUUUUAGAUGACAGGACAGUAAUUGCCGCUAGUUAAGCGACGGAGCUUCAGGAAUACUGAAGUGCUUUGAACAGUAGGCAAGAAAACCUGGAGGAAACCCUUAGGUGACUCAAGACCUGGCCCAGGCGGUACCGCUUGGGAGUCAAUUAAAACUUCCGAUGGCAACGGCUCAUUAGGUGGCAAACAAAGUGGUCGUGUCAUGGGGAGCAGACACUGGAAAAGGCAGCUCCAAGGCCUUUUCUUUUUUCCAUGCAGGGCCAGUGAUGUCAUUUGACUUUGGCAAGGUAACUGGCAACUCCACUUUAUUCCGGCAAAAUGAAUGAGGUGAUAACAAGGCUUUCAAGUACCCCAAUAGUCUUUUGCGCAUGACAAUUUAAUGUCCAGAAGAUCAGAGAAUGCGUUUGAUGUGCAGAAGAUCAAAGAAUGAGGGAAACAGGUUGAGCCUGGGCACUUCUUUCCUAUUCUUUUAUGUCUUUUCCGCAUUACUUUAACAGUUUAAAUCAUAACCCUUGGUGUUUCAGAAUUAGAAGGCUAAACUUUUCCCCUGCUAAACGGUGUGUGUCAUUUAGCUGA
rnacentral:lncRNA from 1 species